AUUGAACGCUGGCGGCAGGCCUAACACAUGCAAGUCGAACGGUAACAGGAAGAAGCUUGCUUCUUUGCUGACGAGUGGCGGACGGGUGAGUAAUGUCUGGGAAACUGCCUGAUGGAGGGGGAUAACUACUGGAAACGGUAGCUAAUACCACAUAACGUCGCAAGACCAAAGAGGGGGACCUUCGGGCCUCUUGCCAUCGGAUGUGCCCAGAUGGGAUUAGCUAGUAGGUGGGGGAACGGCUCACCUAGGCGACGAUCCCUAGCUGGUCUGAGAGGAUGACCAGCCACACUGGAACUGAGACACGGUCCAGACUCCUACGGGAGGCAGCAGUGGGGAAUAUUGCACAAUGGGCGCAAGCCUGAUGCAGCCAUGCCGCGUGUAUGAAGAAGGCCUUCGGGUUGUAAAGUAUUUUCAGCGGGGAGGAAGGGAGUAAAGUUAAUACCUUUGCUCAUUGACGUUACCCGCAGAAGAAGCACCGGCUAACUCCGUG
rnacentral:rRNA from 1 species